ACGGGUGAGUAAUAUAUCGGAACGUGCCCAAUCGUGGGGGAUAACGUAGAGAAAUUUACGCUAAUAUCGCAUACGAUCUAAGGAUGAAAGCGGGGGAUCGCAAGACCUCGCGCGAUUGGAGCGGCUGAUAUCAGAUUAGGUUGUUGGUGAGGUAAAAGCUCACCAAGCCGACGAUCUGUAGCUGGUUUGAGAGAACGACCAGCCACACUGGGACUGAGACACGGCCCAGACUCCUACGGGAGGCAGCAGUGGGGAAUUUUGGACAAUGGGCGAAAGCCUGAUCCAGCAAUGCCGCGUGCAGGAAGAAGGCCUUCGGGUUGUAAACUGCUUUUGUACGGAACGAAACGGCUCUUUCUAAUAAAGAGGGCUAAUGACGGUACCGUAAGAAUAAGCACCGGCUAACUACGUGCCAGCAGCCGCGGUAAUACGUAGGGUGCGAGCGUUAAUCGGAAUUACUGGGCGUAAAGCGUGCGCAGGCGGUUAUAUAAGACAGUUGUGAAAUCCCCGGGCUCAACCUGGGAAUUGCAUCUGUGACUGUAUAGCUAGAGUACGGUAGAGGGGGAUGGAAUUCCGCGUGUAGCAGUGAAA
rnacentral:rRNA from 1 species